CCUACGGGUGGCUGCAGUGGGGAAUUUUGGACAAUGGGGGCUACCCUGAUCCAGCCAUGCCGCGUGCGGGAAGAAGGCCUUCGGGUUGUAAACCGCUUUUGUCAGGGAAGAAAUCUUCCGAGCUAAUACCUUGGGAGGAUGACGGUACCUGAAGAAUAAGCACCGGCUAACUACGUGCCAGCAGCCGCGGUAAUACGUAGGGUGCAAGCGUUAAUUGGAAUGAGUGGGCGUAAAGGUGCAAGAGGGGUUUGAAAUCCCCGGGCUUAACCUGGGAACUGCACUUGUGACUGUACGGCUGGAGUACGGCAGAGGGGGAUGGAAUUCCGCGUGUAGCAGUGAAAUGCGUAGAUAUGCGGAGGAACACCGAUGGCGAAGGCAGUCCCCUGGGCCUGUACUGACGCUCAUGCACGAAAGCGUGGGGAGCAAACAGGAUUAGAUACCCUGGUAGUC
rnacentral:rRNA from 1 species